rnacentral:rRNA from 1 species
CAGUAGCCGCGGUAAUACGAAGGGGGCUAGCGUUGUUCGGAAUUACUGGGCGUAAAGCGCACGUAGGCGGAUAUUUAAGUCAGGGGUGAAAUCCCAGAGCUCAACUCUGGAACUGCCUUUGAUACUGGGUAUCUUGAGUAUGGAAGAGGUGAGUGGAAUUCCGAGUGUAGAGGUGAAAUUCGUAGAUAUUCGGAGGAACACCAGUGGCGAAGGCGGCUCACUGGUCCAUUACUGACGCUGAGGUGCGAAAGCGUGGGGAGCAAACAGGAUUAGAUACCCCUGUAGUCCCUGUCUCUUAUAC